rnacentral:rRNA from 1 species
UACGAAGGGUGCAAGCGUUACUCGGAAUUACUGGGCGUAAAGCGUGCGUAGGUGGUUUUUUAAGUCCGUUGUGAAAGCCCUGGGCUCAACCUGGGAAUGGCAGUGGAUACUGGAAAGCUAGAGUGCGGUAGAGGGUAGUGGAAUUCCCGGUGUAGCAGUGAAAUGCGUAGAGAUCGGGAGGAACACCAGUGGCGAAGGCGGCUACCUGGACCAGCACUGACACUGAGGCACGAAGGCCAGGGGAGCAAACGGG